ACGAACGCUGGCGGCAGGCUUAACACAUGCAAGUCGAACGCAUCCUUCGGGGUGAGUGGCAGACGGGUGAGUAACGCGUGGGAACGUGCCCUUCAGUUCGGGAUAACCCAGGGAAACUUGGGCUAAUACCGGAUACGUGCGAGAGCAGAAAGAUUUAUCGCUGAAGGAUCGGCCCGCGUCUGAUUAGCUAGUUGGUGAGGUAAUGGCUCACCAAGGCGACGAUCAGUAGCUGGUCUGAGAGGAUGAUCAGCCACACUGGGACUGAGACACGGCCCAGACUCCUACGGGAGGCAGCAGUGGGGAAUAUUGGACAAUGGGCGCAAGCCUGAUCCAGCCAUGCCGCGUGAGUGAUGAAGGCCUUAGGGUUGUAAAGCUCUUUCGGCGGGGACGAUAAUGACGGUACCCGCAGAAGAAGCCCCGGCUAACUUCGU
rnacentral:rRNA from 1 species